rnacentral:lncRNA from 1 species
UCUGUAAUUUAGCAAAUAUCUAUGUCUUUGUGGUUUCUUUAUUAUUUUGAUAUACAGUUGUCAUAGUUUUAGGAACCCUUCACUUAAGUUGAUUUGUAUUGCUAGUCACAGAACAAUCAGACAAUUACUACAGCUGAGUUAUGCAUGAAAUAACAGAGGUUGUAGUCUUUGAGUAUUCAAUUUUGGUCAAUUAUCUCUGCAUAGCUGGAAAUUCCUUUCAAACGAUUAAGUUGUGAAAUUGAUAUUUCACUAGGAGAGAAUGAUGAAGUUUCCCUAAGAGAACGCGAAAAGAUAUUGAGAUCAUGCAUUAUUUCUCAUACGACAGAUUUUUGGUCAAUUAUACCCAGAACAUGUAUCUGGCAGCAUAGUCUUUUGAUUGCCAAUUAUUGUCAUAUUGGAGUUAUAACCUUCUGUUUGAAAUUGUUGGAAGUGGAUGGAACACAUCAAUGGUUUGUUUUUUUUUUCCGCAUUUCUCACUACUAUAGCAUCUUAAUAAUUCAUUUAGAUAGAAAUCUAAUUUAAAUGUGACAAGAAUGGGAAUGGCUGACAUUUCAAUUAUUGUCAUAUUGGAGUUAUAACCUUCUGUUUGAAAUUGUUGGAAGUGGAUGGAACACAUCAAUGGUUUGUUUUUUUUUUCCGCAUUUCUCACUACUAUAGCAUCUUAAUAAUUCAUUUAGAUAGAAAUCUAAUUUAAAUGUGACAAGAAUGGGAAUGGCUGAC